rnacentral:pre_miRNA from 1 species
UAGACAUGAGGAAGAUACAUAGAAAGGGGGGACGGACAACAACGAUUUCGUUGUCCGUCCCCCCUUUCUAUGUAUCUUCCUCAUGUUAAUU